GACGCGUCGGGACCCGCCGGGGCUGGAUGCGCGGGGAAUCGGGUGCUGGACACACCGGGAAACACCAGCAGCCGGGCACCGGGAACGCAGGGAACCGGGUGCUACCGGGGCUGGAUGUGCCGGGAGCCGGAUGCACCGGGAAGCGCCAGCAGCUGGGCACCAGACACGUAGGGAAUGGGGCACCGCCAGGGCUGGGCACGCUGGGAACCACCAGCCUCGCCGGAUGCACCAGGAGCUGCCAUCUUCGCCGGAUGCACCGGGAGCCGCUGGGCACCAGUGUCCUCACUGGAGGCGCCGGGAAGCCUCUGGGCACCAUCGUCCUCACCGGAAGCGCCGGGAAGGCGGCUGCUCAGGGGGCGCCGAGGGCGUCGAGCAGCAGGCGGCGGCCCUCCUCGUAGUCGUCCUCGUCGACGUUGACGAGGAGCCGGAUGGCCUCGCGGCCCACGGCCUCCUUGAGCGAGUCCGUGAGGAAGACGCCCUUGAGGGCCUCCAGCAGGGAGCCGUUGAGGUAGUCGCUCCAGAAGGCGUCGAGGUAGGAGAGCUCCGAGAACUUGAUGUCGCAGAUGAUGGAGCCCAGGUCGCGCGACUUCAGCACCGUGCUCGCCUGGCCGAAGAGGUCGAGCUGCCGCGCCAGGCGCUGCGCCCGGUUCGACGCCACGUUCUGCCGCAGCGCCGCCUCGUGCUCGCAGUACUCGGCCCGCACGCGCAGCCGGAUGUCUGGGAACGGCGGCGGCAGCGGGAAGAGCGGGACGGAGAGGGAAAGGGGGGAGACAGAGAGAAACAGCGGCGUUAAGGAG
rnacentral:lncRNA from 1 species